GGCGCUUCAGCCCAGAGCCGGGACGCCUCAGGCUGCCCUCUCCUCGCCCUCCCAGCCUGGGGGGCAUCGGGCCGGCUGGAGCCGCAGGUCCCCGGGGCCCUCUCCCCCCAGAGAGAGAGAGAGAGGCGGGGAGGACCGACGGAUCGCCUCAGCGUACGCCCGCCGCCGGCCUCCGGUACUGACGUGGCCCCGCCGGCCCCAAAACCUGCUCCUGUUCCUCCUCAAAGUCGCCCUCAGGGAAACUCACCUGCCCGUCGACGUCUCCCGCCUCCAUCCGUGCCCCUGCGAAGAAACCACUCCUGAUGUACUCUGGUCAGGUUGGAGCCCUGUCCACAUGCUGUUCCACAAAGACAGACAUCUCUGUGCAUCCAGAACCUGCUGAAGUCACUGUGGCUCCACAGGAAAAUAAAGAUACAUCAGCAAAGGAAAUCUAAGGUCUCUUCUACUUCAGGAUGAGCUACCCCCACUGAAAGUGCAAUAAUUAAGGCUGCCAAAGCAACGGAGAGAGCUUCGAAACAACUUCAACUACAUAUGAUUACGACAGGUUUCACAACGGUGUAAAUCCUAUACGUGCAGAUGUUAUACAAACAUAACUUCUAAUCACCUUUGAACUAAAGUCAAAGAUAAAGAUUCAUGGAAUUCAUCAUAGCUGGCUUCCAAAGGACAAAGUUUAAAGCUUUAUAGCAGAGUGAGACUUCAGUUAAUUUCUGUUCUGCAGAACUGAAGCUACAAAUAAUCUCUGAAAUGGCUACCCGUAUGAAGGGAUUGCAAGACCGAUUUAAAUGCAUGAAGAUACAAACAUUGGUGCGAUUUUUCAAACAGGAAAUGUUAUUUAAGCCAAAUACCAAGAAAACAGGUGAGAGGGGACAGAGCGCUUAGGACCCGAGAACUUGGAUGAACUGAGGCUUUAACAAAGAGUAACCAGACAGUGUGUUACAUAAAAGUUAUUUUCAGCUUUCACUCUCAGCUUUGCGGUACAGCCCUUUGCUACCAGUAAAGUCAUUUGACAGUAUUCAUUUUGUGUUAACUCAAAAAUUCAAAAGCAAGCCUUGCUUUAGUCAAGAAAUACCACUGCACGUAAGUGCCCAUAGAACGAAGCUCACUGUAAUCAGUCUCAUCUGACAGAGCUGCAUCCAAAUGCGACAGCUCAAAAUCUGAGUCUGUUGUCACACUGUGCACAUUCAAUUUAUUGAACAGGAGGUCUCAGUUAUAAUUCAGUUUGUGUCUCCUGUAAAAAAAACUCGGUGCUACUAAGCAGAAUAUAAUACAGCAGAUUGUACACCAAGCAAAACAGAAAAUUCCAAGAACCUUCAUAUUGCUCUAUCUUUAUAUUAUUGCUAUAAAGUAUAGAAGAAAAAAAAAAUAUUUCACCACAGUCAAUUGCUAUCAUCCAAAUAUAUUUCCAAGAAAUCUUGAAUAUGUAAUCUCUGAAGAAGACAGUGAAAGUCAUCAGUUAUUAACAGUUAUUGAAUCUAAGCUUUUUAAAUUCAAUACUAUCAGUUCUCAUUCAGAUAAAGCAAGCUCUCUGCACCAGUUUUUGCACCCACCUACUGGAUGCCCCUUCAAGAUCCCUCUGUUUGGCUGGGGGUCCUCCUCCACUAUCCGAGAAUCCACGCCUAAAAAGAAAACACUUGUGAUCUCAGAACAAGUUAAGCUAACCCCAGGUCCACCUUAAACUUGCACAAUCAAACUGGAUUUUGGCUUUGUGGUCAUGAUCUAACAAUAAAUUUUCCUCAGCUCUAUCAUCAUUUACUGUUACUAGUCCAAUAAAAUCAUUAAACAUACUGCUUGUGGACCAACUAAUUUAAGCUUGAAUUUCUGCACUUAUUUGAUUGACCAGCUACACUAAAUCAAGCAGCCCCAAUAUGUUCAAGUGUUCAUAUUUGCAGUAGCUUUCAACAUGCAUUAAGUAUUAACCAGCAGUUUAACAUUGAAAUUCAACAAAAUAUCCACUAUAAGUGUAAAUAGGAACCACUGAACAAAAGUGGACAUUUUCAUUCUACGUGGGGAAGGGAGAAAAAGGAGAAGAAAAAAAAAAGGGG